rnacentral:rRNA from 1 species
GGAAUAUUGCACAAUGGGCGAAAGCCUGAUGCAGCGACGCCGCGUGAGGGAUGACGGCCUUCGGGUUGUAAACCUCUUUCAGCAGGGACGAAGCGCAAGUGACGGUACCUGCAGAAGAAGCACCGGCUAACUACGUGCCAGCAGCCGCGGUAAUACGUAGGGUGCAAGCGUUGUCCGGAAUUACUGGGCGUAAAGAGUUCGUAGGCGGUUUGUCGCGUCGUUUGUGAAAACCAGCAGCUCAACUGCUGGCUUGCAGGCGAUACGGGCAGACUUGAGUACUGCAGGGGAGACUGGAAUUCCUGGUGUAGCGGUGAAAUGCGCAGAUAUCAGGAGGAACACCGGUGGCGAAGGCGGGUCUCUGGGCAGUAACUGACGCUGAGGAACGAAAGCGUGGGUAGCGAACAGGAUUAGAUACCCGAG